rnacentral:rRNA from 1 species
GUCUAUGGCCAUACCACCCUGAACGCGCUCGAUCUUGUCUGAUCGUGGAAGCUAAGCAGGGUCGGGCCUGGUUAGUACUUGGAUGGGAGAAAUGCAGAAUCUCAGACC